AUCUGCUCUGACAGCGUCCUCUGUGAGGCAGGGUCCCAGAAGUUAGCCAGAGUGUGGAGGGUGUAUGCUGACUAGCUUGAGUGGAUUCAUCUUGCUGGGAAGAGCUGACAGACUGGACCAGUUUGCACUCCGAAUGUAGGGAUUCCCAUGGAUAUUCUCUGUCCUGGAUUGAGGGCUAAUGGGCACCUUCCAGAAGGGCUGAGGGUAAGGAGUCUAUAUUCUGAUCGGAGCCGGCGCCCUCAUGAUGCUGGUGGGCUUCCUGGGCUGCUGUGGAGCUGUGCAGGAGUCCCAGUGCAUGCUGGGACUGUUCUUCGGCUUCCUCUUGGUGAUAUUCGCCAUUGAAAUAGCUGCGGCCAUCUGGGGAUAUUCCCACAAGGAUGAGGUGAUUAAGGAAGUCCAGGAGUUUUACAAGGACACCUACAACAAGCUGAAAACCAAGGAUGAGCCCCAGCGGGAAACGCUGAAAGCCAUCCACUAUGCGUUGAACUGCUGUGGUUUGGUUGGGGGCGUGGAACAGUUUAUCUCAGACAUCUGCCCCAAGAAGGACGGACUCGAAACCUUCACCGUGAAGUCCUGUCCUGAUGCCAUCAAGGAGGUCUUCGAUAAUAAAUUCCACAUCAUCGGCGCAGUGGGCAUUGGCAU
rnacentral:sRNA from 1 species